rnacentral:lncRNA from 1 species
AGUUCUUCUAUGUGUGUCUAGUAGAAUUUGGCUGUGCAUCUACCUGCUCCAGGGCUUUUUCUUGGUUGCCAGGUGAAGAUUUUCCUGCUUCCCCAUUGCCUUCUGCCAUGAUUGUAAGUUCCCCGAGGCCUCCUCAGCCAUGCUUCCCAAACAGCCUGUGGAACGAUAUUCUUUCAGAUACUGUGUACUGAUGAAACUGCUGACUCAGCUGGUCUGAAGGACCCCACUGGCACUGGCUGGUCUGAAGGACCCUGCUGAUCACAACUUGCCUGAAGGACCCUACUGACAUCAGCUGUUGUCCAAAGGACGCCACAAGAAACUGACUCACCAAAAAAUGCAUCCUGAUGAUUUCAUCCCCCUUAACCCGACCAAUCAACAACCCCAAAUCUACACAGCCCCUUUCCCUCCAUGAUUCCUACAAAACUCCAGCCCAGAACUCCUCAGGGAGAUGGAUUUGAAGGUCUCCUCCCUUCUACUUGCUUGAUGCCCUAUUAUUAUUAAACUCUUUGCUACAAACCCUGCUG